GAUGAACGCUGGCGGCGUGCCUAAUACAUGCAAGUCGAGCGAACAGACGAGGAGCUUGCUCCUCUGACGUUAGCGGCGGACGGGUGAGUAACACGUGGAUAACCUACCUAUAAGACUGGGAUAACUUCGGGAAACCGGAGCUAAUACCGGAUAAUAUAUUGAACCGCAUGGUUCAAUAGUGAAAGACGGUUUUGCUGUCACUUAUAGAUGGAUCCGCGCCGCAUUAGCUAGUUGGUAAGGUAACGGCUUACCAAGGCAACGAUGCGUAGCCGACCUGAGAGGGUGAUCGGCCACACUGGAACUGAGACACGGUCCAGACUCCUACGGGAGGAAGCAGUAGGGAAUCUUCCGCAAUGGGCGAAAGCCUGACGGAGCAACGCCGCGUGAGUGAUGAAGGUCUUCGGAUCGUAAAACUCUGUUAUUAGGGAAGAACAAAUGUGUAAGUAACUAUGCACGUCUUGACGGUACCUAAGCAGAAAGCCACGGCUAACUACGU
rnacentral:rRNA from 1 species